GCGUGGGAAUCUGCCCUCAGGAGGGGGAUAACGGCCGGAAACGGCCGCUAAUACCCCAUAUGCCGAGAGGUGAAAUGAAUUUCGCCUGAGGAUGAGCCCGCGUCUGAUUAGCUAGUUGGUGAGGUAAGAGCUCACCAAGGCAUCGAUCAGUAGCUGGUCUGAGAGGAUGAUCAGCCACACUGGGACUGAGACACGGCCCAGACUCCUACGGGAGGCAGCAGUGAGGAAUAUUGCACAAUGGGCGAAAGCCUGAUGCAGCGACGCCGCGUGGGUGAAGAAGGCUUUCGGAUCGUAAAACCC
rnacentral:rRNA from 1 species